UACGGAGGGGGCUAGCGUUGUUCGGAAUUACUGGGCGUAAAGCGCACGUAGGCGGCUUUGUAAGUUAGAGGUGAAAGCCCGGGGCUCAACUCCGGAAUUGCCUUUAAGACUGCAUCGCUAGAAUUGUGGAGAGGUAAGUGGAAUUCCGAGUGUAGAGGUGAAAUUCGUAGAUAUUCGGAAGAAACACCAGUGACGAAGGCGACUUACUGGACACAUAUUGACGCUGAGGUGCGAAAGCGUGGGGAGCAAACAGG
rnacentral:rRNA from 1 species